rnacentral:rRNA from 1 species
AUUGAACGCUGGCGGCAGGCCUAACACAUGCAAGUCGAGCGGAGCGGCGGACGGGUGAGUAAUGCCUAGGAAUCUGCCUGGCAGUGGGGGAUAACGCCCGGUAACGGGCGCUAACACCGCAUACUAUCAGAUGAGUCUAGGCGGGAUUAGCUAGUUGGUGGGGUAAAGGCCUACCAAGGCGACGAUCCGUAGCUGGUCUGAGAGGAUGAUCAUUCACACUGGAACUGAGACACGGUCCAGACUCCUACGGGAGGCAGUAGUGGGGAAUAUUGGACAAUGGGCGAAAGCCUGAUCCAGCCAUGCCGCGUGUGUGAAGAAGGUCUUCGGGUUGUAAAGCACUUUAAGUUGGGAGGCGUUACCAGCAGAAUAAGCACCGGCUAACUUCGUGCCAGCAGCCGCGGUAAUUC